GCAUCGGUGGUUUAGUGGUAAAAUUAGCCGUUGCCAUCGGCUAGCCCCGGGUUCGAUGUAGGUUUAACUAAGUCAAUUUGAGCUCGAUAGGAGUAUUAUUAACAGUUAAACAGUCCCGGCCGAUGCA
rnacentral:tRNA from 1 species